rnacentral:misc_RNA from 1 species
AAGUCGUAACAAGGUUUCCGUAGGUGAACCUGCGGAAGGAUCAUUCACAAUGAGUGUUUAAUGGCACUCCAAAUCCAUUACCCACCUUGUGUGCAUUGUCGGGAGGACUCUUUUUCCCAAUCUUCUCUCUCACUCUCUCCUUUCUCCUCUUCCCCCCUCUCCUCUCUCUUUGAGGGAGAGAGGGGGGUUGGGGAGGGGGGAGGAGGGGAGAAGGGAGAGGGAAAGAGGGGAACUCCAUUUCAUUCAUACUCUGUUCUUCAGUAUCUGUCUACUUCAAUUGAGUAUAAAACUCGAAUACAACUUUCAACAACGGAUCUCUUGGCUCUC